rnacentral:tRNA from 1 species
GGCAUUGUAGGUAGCGGUUAGAACGCUGGCCUUGUAAUCCUGGUCUCUCGGGUUCGAUUCCCGGCGGUGCCC